rnacentral:lncRNA from 1 species
AUUUAGCACAAUGGGGAAAAAAACUAGUGAAUAAAUAAUUGAUUUUAAGUUAUUUAUAACACCUAGAAGUUUAAAACGGUAGGUUAUUUAUUCAUGUAAAUCUUGCAACUGAUUAAUGUAAAUAUCACCAUUUAUACAGAUUUGUACUUUAAGAAAACAUGUGAAAAUGAUUUGAUUGACUGUUGGAUCAUUGGUUAAUUUCCAGUGGAUUAUGUUUUAUACUAAUUGAGGCGAUAUAAUGGGUUAAUAGUUUAUGCGGAGCGGAAUGUACUUCACUAGAGCGAGACACUACACAAGUCAAAUAUUUAUAUUCUCUCGCACAAGGGGAUUUUGCACUGGAACACAUUUCAACCUUUCGUGACGUCUAGGGGUAUGUUAAUAAUGCAUAAAAAAGAGACAUCACAUGAUGUGUAUAUAAGAAAUUAUUUAAAUAAACAACUUGUUGUAAUAAACCGACACGCAACAUGAAUCUGAUUUAAAACAUGCAAUUCAACAAGGUAAUAGCUCACUGUAAGAAAUUUCAACCUGUUUCGAUACGUUUACGUUAAACACUUAAUAUUUCAUACAUAUCCUAGACGACAAAAUAUAAACAUGAAAGGUACAUUCGGAAUAGUUAUGGCGCCCCCAGAGGCUUGUCAACGUGCUAUCGCACAAUCAAUCUCCGUCACAGAGUUAUAUUCUUUCGUAAAUGCUUCGCAAGACUUCACUUAAUAAUCGAAUAUUUUCUUCAUGUGCCCCUUUUUAUAAUUAAACAUCUCAAAACAGAUAUGUGUGAUCUAACUACUUCAUUAUUCUAUUUUAGAAAUUGAAGUCAAAUGAUUGAUUGUUUAAAGUAUCCAUGGCCACUGUCGUAUACAUCAAAUUUAUAACAAUUGUGAAACCUUUUCAAAUAAUUUCCCAUGAAACUAUUUCAAUGAGUUUUAAAAUUAAUACUGCAAAAAUACACACUGCAUACAUUCAUCAAUAAAUAAAAAUAAUAAUUAUACUCUUACAUCUAAUCACAGCGCUUCAUAGUUGAUUUUCAACACGCGCCUUGGGAACAUAUAAGACCAACCUAAAACCAAGAAAAUGUAACGAAAUUUAGAUUGGAACGGAUAUGAACUAUGUGUCGGUGAUUGUCUUGAACGGCAAACGGUCACUGCAAGACAUUUAACCUACCCGGACAGUUCUUGUCGUCCAGAGGUAAAAUGUCAUGUAUAUUCAAGACUACAUAAUAUUAUUAUACCUUGUGGUUUACUAGAUCGAUACACUACACACAUUUAAAACCACUUAUCUUUGUGUGAAACUGAACAAACCAUCAUGGAGUACUUUUCUCAUCAAAAUGGAACACAUAUACUUGUGUGGGUAACAGUCACUUGAAGACAUAUAUAUAUAACCGAAAAUAUUAUGGCGUCUCACAAACCAAAUUUUUGCGCUGAUUGUAUCAACCAAUACAAAAUCGAACUGGAAUCUUAAAUUGUAUUACAAGUGUUGCAGUUUGUUACAAAUUGAACUUAAACUGUAUCAUUUUUGUUAUUUACUAUAGCUGAUGAACCGAUGAAUCAGCAAGUCAGAACAGAAGUGAAAGACAAGAAAGCCAGCACGAGUGAAUGAUGUUCGACAUUUUUUCAUUCAACUUUUCUGAAAGUUUCGUUGAAAAUGUACAUCUGUCCUGCAUAUUACUUUUUCUGGUUUUGGGAAUGCUCAUUCUUAUAUUAUUUCUAUCGACAUUCUUAAAGUAUGACCACACAAAUUCACACAGUUUAUUCCUCGCUUUGUUUAUCGGAUUCAUUCAGCAAAGUUUUGUGUCAAUGAACUGGCUAAAAUCAACAUAUCAUCUAGAUGGAAUUACUGAGUUCGUGUUCGAUUGGUACACUUUUCCUGUUGCCUGUUUUAUAUUAACUUUUGGAGUGGUGUGCAUGACUGAAAUUUCAAAAGAGGAGUUUAGAACAAAAAUAUAUCAAAAUGGAGUUUUCAUUUCAACGGUUUUGUUGCUAGUUUUUGGAAUUGGUCUUUACGGUUUCAAUAACCAAGAUGCAAAUUAUAGCCAAGUAAAGUUUAACAAACCUGAAUUAGGCAAUAUAAUAACAAUCGUGAGUUAUGCUUUAGAAUAUGUGUUAGUUUAUGCUCCACUUACUGUGAUUCUGCUCUGGAACAUGAAGGGAUGUGUUCUCAUUAAAGAUCAAAAAGGUAAAUAUAUGUCAAUUUCUUUAUACGUAUAUAUAUGAAGGUCUAGAUGGUACAUAGCUACUUUUGUACAAGUAAUCUUGAUGAACAAUUAUAAGGAUGCAUAUAAAAUAUACAUCUGUAAAACUGUAUAUAAACUGUACAUCUGUAAAGCUGUAUAUAAACUGUGGAUAGAUAUCGUAUAACACAAGGUGUAGUGGUAGUAGCUAUAUUUUAAACUUAUACACAGAUUUAAAAAUGUGCAGUAAAUGUACAUUUUUACAGAGUGGCAGUUUAUAUAUGUUACAGUGAAUUUGUAUAAUCAGGGAUUAUGUAGAAUCCCUAAAAUUUUCAGGGAUUAUGUAUAAUCACUGGUUAGUUAGGGAUUAUAUAUAAUCACUACAAUUUUCAGGGAUUAUGUAUAAUCACUAGAAAAAAACGUCAGGGAUUAUACAGAAUAACUGAAAUGAUACUAAGAUAUAUAACGGUGUCUUCCCAUUUCUCCAACUUUUAUUUUUUUUUAUUUUUGUUAAUUAUUGGGUUGUUUGUUUAGUAAAAAUAAGGUGUCUUUCUAAAAUUUGACAGUAAAUUUGUUCCUGUAUGUUUUAUAUUAUUUAAAAUAUAUAUAUAUUACAUUAAUGUAAACAUUCAUAAGAUUGUCAAUUCUAUCCCGAAUUUGUCAAUUAAAACAGCAAAAGACGUAGAAAUAUCUGAAUGUUUUGGUAUUUGAGCAAGUGUAAAAUCAUUUGUUCCCCGCACAAUUGCUAUACCGACCAGAAACUUAACAUUUUACCACACUAGAGAGACAAAAGUCAAUAAUUUUCUUCAGUUUUACCGGUUUAAGGAAAGUAAGACAAUAUUAAAACAUGAGGGAGAAUACAAAAACUAUGACCUUAAGUUAAGUUAUUUAAUAUUAUAUAAAUCUACCGAAGUUAAGUUAAGCUAAAGUUAUUUAAUAUUAUAUAAAUCAACCGUCGUUGCACGUGACUCGUACCGUUGCCCGGUCUGAUUGCAUAGAAUUAGAUAUCUGCAUCGUUAGAGAGAGCCUUAUCCCCACUGCUACCGGGGUUAUCAUUAUCAAUUGGCAAAUCAAGCCAUUUAAACUGUACUUUGAAAAUGAUUGAAAUAUAUGAAAUAAGUCAUUAAAAAUCUUGAUAAAACUAAAGGGGGUCUCAACACUUGCAGGUGUGUGUAGCUCACAGCUUAAGGAUAUGAGGAAAAGUAAAUGUGUUUUAUAAAUCACAAGUCUACUACCAAUAAUUAUGCACACUUUUUAGAAUUUCGUAAAAUUUUCGUUUGUGUACCUUUUCUCAUGGACUGGCUCAUAUCAGACUAAUACCCUUAAUAUUGUAUAACGGUAGGCAUAAUAUAUUAAUAUGAAAGACACAAAAAUAUUUAAAUGAUAAACACAAUAUAAUUAAAUGAUAAGCACAAUAUAAUUAAAUGAUAAGCAAAAUAUAUAUUGAAUAAUUGAUGUUUUGUUUUUAAUACUGACUUUAUCAGCAAUAAUAUCAAGCGAGCCCUUUUUUGAUAUUUACUGUAUCAGUAUUAAUAAUAUCAAGCGAGCCCACAAGGGCGGGUUGAUGAAGUUAGUAUUAAAAUAUUAACAUGAUUAAAUGGCAUAAUGAUACAUUUUUUUAUCGUAUUGUUUUAGCAAUUGUUUUUAGGUUGAGAUAUGGAUUAAACUGAAAUUGUCAUCAAAACUAUUUUUACGCGUACAAUCUUUUUGAUAAAUGUUAAUUUUAUGCACAAUAUUUUAAAAAUAAACAUUUUAUUUACAAACUAGAUUUGGAUGGCAUCGACACAUUUGUCCUGGUUUUUUUACAUGUAUAUCUAUUAAAUUUAUAUUUGUUUUUACCACAAUAUCAACAUUUAAAAAACCUUGUCCUCCAUAUCCAAUCAUAUUUUACGAGGGGGGGGGGGGGCAAGGGGGUCCCAAUAACAGCAAAACAGUAAAUUGAUUUGGCUUAAAACAGAUAACAAGGAAUUGAAAAGGGAUAAUAACAGAUAACAGUAAAUGAAAUCUUAAAAUCAGUCCUGUCCAGGACCUAUACAGUAGAUCUUAUUAUAUAACUGGCUGUAUGGACCUAGCUAUAGGCUUUAACAGAGACAUAUAUAUAUACAUUUUAAUUACAAUCCUUAUCAGGUAUCCUUGGCCACAUGUUUCCCUUUUUGUUAUUUUAAUUAUUGAUUUGAAUUUGAUAUACAUGUACACUUAGGAAACACAAAGAACAUUACCCCAGGCCAUAUAUACGUAAAACUCAAAUUCGAACAAUAUCACAAAAAAGGAAUCAUAUGGCUAGGGAUACCUGAUGAUGAUAGGCCUAGGUCCAUACGACCUCAACAGAAUCACCUUUUAUAUAUUGUUCACAAGUUUAUUAUGAUUUGUACCAAAAAAAUACAUACAAAUUUCGACAUAAAAUCACUUAAAACUAAACAAAAUUACUAAUUUCUGUGUUUGUUAAAGAAAUAUUUAAUAAAAACAAAUAUUUUUCGGGGGAGGCUAGGAUGAAAAAUUGUGUCCUGCAUUUUAUUUUUUUUUUUUGUAAUAUCUGUCCUGCUUAUUUAUUUUUCACUCUAUUUGGUCAAGCAAUUUCUUUUAGUUUAAUAUCGUCAUUUUUUUUACAUAAAGUGUCUCAUCCUGCCUUUUUUUACUCACCCCUCCCCUACCUAUAAAUAAAAUGGUAGCUCCUUAAUAGAAAUAGGCUGAAAUUGAGAAUUUGGAUGAUGGUUAUGGUUAUUUGUACAAGUUAUAAUUUGUACAACAAAUGUGUACAAAGUUAAAAUACAUAUGAUGGGGUGUAUGUUACUGGAAUCCUGCAAAUACGUGACUUCCAUAUCACCAGUGGAAUGACCACAAUAGAUAUAAAAGAUGUGGUAUAAGUGCCAAUGAGACAACUCUCAAACCAAGUCACAAUGUUCAAUUAUCUUCAAUUUCUACUUAAGAUUGGCUGUCAAAAUGCUAACCUUCCAAUUUUCAAUAACAGUUAACAAUAAAUACAAUCUCACAAUAACAGAUAACAAUACAAACAAUAGUCCCAUAACAGCUAACAAGGAAUAUGACAAUAACAGCUAACAGCAAAUAAAUUUUCAGAAUAACAGAUAACAAAGAAUUAAAUAACCCCAUAACAGGAUAACAGUUAAACCCCUUGCCCCCCUCUUUUACGGCACGUCUCAGAGAAAUAGAGUUUUCAGCACAAACAUCUGAAGGUACCAAUGAAGGGAAAUCAGCAACCUCAAACUGAUUUCUUGUAUUAAAGAUCCGAGCAGGAGUCCAUUGCUAUAUGGCAAGGAUCUGCCUUUCCUGGAACCACUUGUGGAAUUGGUUUGAGAUAUAUGUUGUUUUUCCUCUGCAAUUUGCAUUAACUUUUGAGCAUACGUUUUUCUUCAACCCAAGCAACACCUGUGCCUGUGCCGAGCUUAUUUGUUAGCAGCAUAAUGAGGUUCAACACUUGGACAAAAUAUAAAGGAAAAAAUCAUCACUUAACAAUCAAAUAGUAGAUCAAGAAUGAAAACUGCAUGUUUACUUAAACUUUCAAGGAAUAAGAAAAAAAUGAUAAUUUGUCUAUGUUAAUUUGUUUCAUCAUCUUUGGAGCUUUUAAUUAUUGAUAAUCACUGAAAUCAUACUAGGGAAUUUGUAGAAUACUAAUUAAAAUUAUCAGUGAUUAUGUGAAAUCACUGGUAAUUUUCAGGGAAUCUGUAUAAUCACUAAUGAUUUUAGUGAUUCUACAUAAUCCCUGAAAAAUCAGGGAUUCUACAUAAUCACUGAUUAUACAAAUUCACUGUAACAUAUACACCUUUAAAAAUGUACAGUUUAUAUACAGUUUUACAGAUGUAUAGUUUAUCUACAGCUUAACAUAUGUAGUUUAUAUACCUCUUUAUAGAUGUACAGUUCUUAUACAGUUUUACAGCUAUACAGUUUAUAGACAGCUUUACAGAUGUACAUUUAAUAUGCAUCUCCAGAACUGUUCAUCAAGAUUACUUGUUCUAAAGUAGCUGUGAACCAUCUUAAUGUUUUUCAAAUACAAUUAAAAAAAGAAGAGAAAAGUAACGGAAACGUUCUUGUGUUUCUUUAUACAUGAAAACAAGGUAAAUAAAGGCAACAGUAGUAUACCGUUUUUCGAAGGUCAUAAAUCGAUUGCGAGAAAGCAAAUCUGGAUUACAAGCUAAAACUGAAGUACAGACAUCAACAAUAAGAGGGAGGAAAACGACGAAACAACAGAUACAUAAAAAAAUAACUCGAUUCUGCUACUUUGAAUAUGUCUGAAGGAUCAAAGAAAUCUGUAUUAAAAAUUGGCGCUAAUAUCAUAUCAAGCAAAAUUGUGUUCCCAAUAUUCUAUAUGCACCAAUUCUGUGAUACUUGCACCUACACUUUUCCCCUAUGUACAUCUGUAUACCCAUGCUUGGAUUUUUUUCAGAUUCAAUAAACAAAAUAUAUAAAAAAAAAUAUAAAUAUAUAAAAACGAAGUAAAUAACUCGAUUCUGCCUAUAUGAACAUGUCCUAAGGGUUAAAGAAAUCUGUAUUUAAAACGAAUAUUUUGUCGUAUUAAUCUACAUCUACUUUGUGUUUUUUUGUCUUCUCAUUUUAUUCCUUAUAGUAAUCAAUAUUUACUUUUUUUCAGGUGUACAUCACGAGCAGUGUAUGACGUGUGAUAAUAAUAUUAUGGUACAACGAUAUGUAUUAAUUUUUAUGAUGUUUGUGAUUUGGAUCGUUAGACCAUGUUUUUGGAUUAUAGACUUUCAUUUCAGUGUAAUUACACAAGAUUUUAUUCCUAGCAUGACUGUUUGUAUGGUUUAUAUUUAUUUACUUUGGGAUUUUGGAAUAUACCAAUUAAGGGACUUUUUAUGUAGGAUGUCAUAGAAUUUUGUUAAAGCCAUAAAAACAACAUUGUUUUUUUUUAUUUAUACAUUUUUACAUACAAGAAACAAAAGUAAAGAAAUCUU